GGUCAAGGGAGUGGCCAGGGAAUUGGCUUUGGCCAGGGGACUGGCCAGGGAAUUGGGACUGGUCAAGGGAGCGGCCAGGGAAUUGGUUUUGGCCAGGGGAGUGGUAAAGGGACUGGCCAGGGAAGUGGUUUUGGUCAGGGUAGUGGUCAGGGAAGUGGCGCAGACCAAUUUGGCAAUGGUCAAUGUUGAGGUCAGGGACAUGUUCAUGGGAAUUUGCAUAAUACUUCCUGGAGAUCUUUUCCAGUGCUUUUAUUUAAAUGGCAUGUUUUCCCUGUUUGCUCGAACAGUUUAGAAAGAUUUUCUGUCUCACUACCACCUCAAAUAAAAAAUAACUGCUUGAUUUUGAAUAGUUGGUUUUUGGUAUCAUUUGGCUGUUUUCUCACA